GACGAACGCUGGCGGCGUGCUUAACACAUGCAAGUCGAACGGAAAGGCCCUGCUUUUGUGGGGUGCUCGAGUGGCGAACGGGUGAGUAACACGUGAGUAACCUGCCCUUGACUUUGGGAUAACUUCAGGAAACUGGGGCUAAUACCGGAUAGGAGCUCCUGCUGCAUGGUGGGGGUUGGAAAGUUUCGGCGGUUGGGGAUGGACUCGCGGCUUAUCAGCUUGUUGGUGAGGUAGUGGCUUACCAAGGCUUUGACGGGUAGCCGGCCUGAGAGGGUGACCGGUCACAUUGGGACUGAGAUACGGCCCAGACUCCUACGGGAGGCAGCAGUGGGGAAUAUUGCACAAUGGGCGGAAGCCUGAUGCAGCAACGCCGCGUGCGGGAUGACGGCCUUCGGGUUGUAAACCGCUUUCGCCUGUGACGAAGCGUGAGUGACGGUAAUGGGUAAAGAAGCACCGGCUAACUACGUG
rnacentral:rRNA from 1 species